rnacentral:rRNA from 1 species
UUGAUGCCAUGCUUCCAAGAAAAGCUUCUAAGCUUCAGGUAACCAGGAACCGUACCCCAAACCGACACAGGUGGUCGGGUAGAGAAUACCAAGGCGCUUGAGAGAACUCGGGUGAAGGAACUAGGCAAAAUGGCACCGUAACUUCGGGAGAAGGUGCGCCGGCUAGGGUGAAGGAUUUACUCCGUAAGCUCUGGCUGGUCGAAGAUACCAGGCCGCUGCGACUGUUUAUUAAAAACACAGCACUCUGCAAACACGAAAGUGGACGUAUAGGGUGUGACGCCUGCCCGGUGCCGGAAGGUUAAUUGAUGGGGUUAGCGCAAGCGAAGCUCUUGAUCGAAGCCCCGGUAAACGGCGGCCGUAACUAUAACGGUCCUAAGGUAGCGAAAUUCCUUGUCGGGUAAGUUCCGACCUGCACGAAUGGCGUAACGAUGGCGGCGCUGUCUCCACCCGAGACUCAGUGAAAUUGAAAUCGCUGUGAAGAUGCAGUGUAUCCGCGGCUAGACGGAAAGACCCCGUGAACCUUUACUGUAGCUUUGCACUGGACUUUGAGCCUGCUUGUGUAGGAUAGGUGGGAGGCUUUGAAGCGUGGACGCCAGUUCGCGUGGAGCCAUCCUUGAAAUACCACCCUGGCAUGCUUGAGGUUCUAACUCUGGUCCGUAAUCCGGAUCGAGGACAGUGUAUGGUGGGCAGUUUGACUGGGGCGGUCUCCUCCUAAAGAGUAACGGAGGAGUACGAAGGUGCGCUCAGACCGGUCGGAAAUCGGUCGCAGAGUAUAAAGGCAAAAGCGCGCUUGACUGCGAGACAGACACGUCGAGCAGGUACGAAAGUAGGUCUUAGUGAUCCGGUGGUUCUGUAUGGAAGGGCCAUCGCUCAACGGAUAAAAGGUACUCCGGGGAUAACAGGCUGAUACCGCCCAAGAGUUCAUAUCGACGGCGGUGUUUGGCACCUCGAUGUCGGCUCAUCACAUCCUGGGGCUGAAGCCGGUCCCAAGGGUAUGGCUGUUCGCCAUUUAAAGUGGUACGCGAGCUGGGUUUAGAACGUCGUGAGACAGUUCGGUCCCUAUCUGCCGUGGACGUUUGAGAUUUGAGAGGGGCUGCUCCUAGUACGAGAGGACCGGAGUGGACGAACCUCUGGUGUUCCGGUUGUCACGCCAGUGGCAUUGCCGGGUAGCUAUGUUCGGAAAAGAUAACCGCUGAAAGCAUCUAAGCGGGAAACUUGCCUCAAGAUGAGAUCUCACUGGGAACUUGAUUCCCCUGAAGGGCCGUCGAAGACUACGACGUUGAUAGGCUGGGUGUGUAAGCGUUGUGAGGCGUUGAGCUAACCAGUACUAAUUGCCCGUGAGGCUUGACCA